GAUCCUGGCUCAGGAUGAACGCUAGCUACAGGCUUAACACAUGCAAGUCGAGGGGCAGCUAUUUCUUAGCUUGCUAAGGAAGAUGGCGACCGGCGCACGGGUGAGUAACGCGUAUCCAACCUUCCCAUGUCCACGGGAUAGCCCGUCGAAAGGCGGAUUAAUACCGUAUGAGGUCACAUGCGGGCAUCUAAGUGUGACGAAAGGUUUAGCGGACAUGGAUGGGGAUGCGUCCGAUUAGCUUGUUGGCGGGGUAACGGCCCACCAAGGCGACGAUCGGUAGGGGUUCUGAGAGGAAGGUCCCCCACAUUGGAACUGAGACACGGUCCAAACUCCUACGGGAGGCAGCAGUGAGGAAUAUUGGUCAAUGGACGAGAGUCUGAACCAGCCAAGUAGCGUGCAGGAUGACGGCCCUAUGGGUUGUAAACUGCUUUUAUAAGGGAAUAAAGUGAGCCUCGUGAGGCUUUUUGCAUGUACCUUAUGAAUAAGGACCGGCUAAUUCCGUG
rnacentral:rRNA from 1 species